GGAGCUUGCUCUGUGGGAUCAGUGGCGAACGGGUGAGUAACACGUGAGCAACCUGCCCCUGACUCUGGGAUAAGCGCUGGAAACGGCGUCUAAUACUGGAUAUGUGACGUGACCGCAUGGUCUGCGUCUGGAAAGAAUUUCGGUUGGGGAUGGGCUCGCGGCCUAUCAGCUUGUUGGUGAGGUAAUGGCUCACCAAGGCGUCGACGGGUAGCCGGCCUGAGAGGGUGACCGGCCACACUGGGACUGAGACACGGCCCAGACUCCUACGGGAGGCAGCAGUGGGGAAUAUUGCACAAUGGGCGCAAGCCUGAUGCAGCAACGCCGCGUGAGGGACGACGGCCUUCGGGUUGUAAACCUCUUUUAGCAGGGAAGAAGCGAAAGUGACGGUACCUGCAGAAAAAGCGCCGGCUAACUACGUGCCAGCAGCCGCGGUAAUACGUAGGGCGCAAGCGUUAUCCGGAAUUAUUGGGCGUAAAGAGCUCGUAGGCGGUUUGUCGCGUCUGCUGUGAAAUCCGGAGGCUCAACCUCCGGCCUGCAGUGGGUACGGGCAGACUAGAGUGCGGUAGGGGAGAUUGGAAUUCCUGGUGUAGCGGUGGAAUGCGCAGAUAUCAGGAGGAACACCGAUGGCGAAGGCAGAUCUCUGGGCCGUAACUGACGCUGAGGAGCGAAAGGGUGGGGAGCAAACAGGCUUAGAUACCCUGGUAGUCCACCCCGUAAACGUUGGGAACUAGUUGUGGGGUCCAUUCCACGGAUUCCGUGACGCAGCUAACGCAUUAAGUUCCCCGCCUGGGGAGUACGGCCGCAAGGCUAAAACUCAAAGGAAUUGACGGGGACCCGCACAAGCGGCGGAGCAUGCGGAU
rnacentral:rRNA from 1 species